CCGGCCUCCAGGAAGGUUGCGGUUUCAGGGCCAGCCCUACCUUGGUUGAUCCUUGCCCCUAGACCCAGCAGAGGACGGUGCGCGUCCAUCCUAUGGGACACGGCCGUAACCCCUUCCCCAGCCCCCACUUUAGCACACCCUGCAGAGCAGAGGCCUGACCUGAGCUGGCUCUAAACAGCUCCCUGAGGCUGGAGGCCAGACAGCCACAAGCCAGGAGCAAGAUUCUAGAAUACAAAGCUAUUAUAAUAAGGAGUUUCUCUGCAAGGCCAAAAGCCUCAGACAUUAAUAGAGGCAGAAGAUGAGUUGCAGACCCUGAAGCCCCAGUCAUGGACCUCGCCUCCUCCACCGGGCUGGUAUGACCUCUGCCUGUAAUCUUUCAGUCCUCCUGCCCAGCCAAGCUACCAAGGUGGGGUGUCCGCCAGAACCACUGGGGCCAGGCAAUAUGAUGACAGCAACAGUCCAGGCUGCAGUAAUGUCUUUUGGAAAGGUCAGCCUGUGGCAGCUAUGCUCAUGGAAACUCAAGGAAGGUGUUUGCAUCCAUGCUUCUACCAGAAGACUAAAAGGAAGCCAUGUCCUCCCACCCAGCCCUCCAGAGUGAAGGUAUAGAAAUGCAGAGUAAAAGAUGGAGGGAACCAGAGGUGGGCCCCUUGCUCAGCUGCUGUGUCCUCUGGACACUUCCUUUCCAACAGGGACCCUGGAAGUUCCAGCUAGGAAGAGAGGUCAUUGUGAGCCCACGGCCAGCCUGGUGCCAUCUGGUAACUUCCAGCACCAACCCUGCAGGUGGCUUUGGGAAGCAUCGCUGUCCUGCACCCUGCUUUUCCCUGUCACUAAGGUUCAGCCCUGGGAGGUGGGCUGGGGAGGACAGUGCCUGAGAGCCCAGCACACACCUGCCUUCAUGGUCCCGAGCUCCAGCUGAGCAGUCUUCCUCUUUCCUGAGGAGCCGAUGACAUGCUGUGACCUACUCAGGCAGGGCCCCUGGUUGCUAGGGAAUCAGUUCACCACCUCUGGAAAGUGGCAAUAUCGCUGCUGUGAGUAGGCCCAAAGUGGGCCUUUCCCUGGCACCGCCUCUGAGCCUUAUCCCCGGGGUGAGAAAAACGAAGGUUGGGGGACGCCAAGGGCCCUCCUCGGUCCCUGCUGCCCAUCCUCAAGGACUGACCUGCCCUCCUGGAUCUGGCCUAAGCUGAGUUAUAAGCUCCCUGCCAAGACAACAUCCAUCGUGCCAUGUACUACUGUUGUCAACUUUAGGGGGAUGUGGAAAGGAAGGACGCACAGACCUUGGUCCAUUACAGUGGACCCCAGGGAGCUGUCUUUGUUGUCCAGCUUUAUGAUACAGCUUGGGGUUACACAGGCAUCGCCCACAUGAUGGUGCUAUCAGGGACUGGGGAUGUGAGGAGGUGGGGCCCAGGGCCCGCUUUCAAGCCCCACCCCUCCUUGAGACAAGGUCUUACUCCAGCCCAGGCUGGAGUGCAGUGCUAGGAUCAUGGCUCACUGCAGUCUUGGCCUCCUGCCUCAGCCUCAGCAUCCUGAGCAGCUGGGACCACAGGUACACACAACACCGCACCUGACUUCGCUUUCAGAGUCCAAAGCCCUCAUAGGGCCAUUGUGAGGCUAGGGCAUCCCCACCCCAUAUGUGGUUAACUCAUGCCUAUGAAUUACCAUUUUGUUUGUUGUUAUUGUUUGUUUUUGUAAAGCUAGGAUCUUGCUAUGCUGCCCAGGCUGGUC
rnacentral:lncRNA from 1 species